CGUGGUCCCGCGAGUCACGUGGCUGCCCCUCGCCCCCGCACGCAAGUUCACGCACACUCGCACACCAUCUGAAGUCCGUUUAAGUUACCAGCUUGCCAGCCAGCGCGCGAGCGCGGCCACAAAAUGGCGACGUCGCGGAGCAAUGACCAGUGUGAUGUAGCAGCGUCGUCGUGCGCUGUGUCUUGCUCUUUGCAGAGAAUAUGGAUGCCCAGAAAGCUGUGCCGCAACUUUUAUUACGUUUCCACGUACUCGUGGAAAUUUUAUAUCCGCGAAAAUAAUCUCUUUGCCCCACUGCGACAUUGAAGGGACGUUUUGAUUCUCUCGAAUCGGACGAACAGCGGGAGGAAAUAAAAAGACGGGACCAAAGACUCGCUGGAUAAAGGGAGCUAUCGUCCUUCCAGCUGACAGUAUGAUUGUCCGCCUUUUGCCAGACCACGCAAUUUUUAAUUGCGACGUACGUCAGCAUCACACACACACACACACACACACGGCACUCCGCUCUGAUUGACUCUGCUUGUGGAUACAGAAAAAGAUUGCCAUUGAAGUUCCUUGGACUCUUCUUGUUGUUCUCCAACAACGGCGAUGACAUCCGUCAACUACCGUUAGGAACCACAGAAAAACUGGAGCAUUGUGCGAAACGAAAUGCGGUUUCAUUGACUUCACGCCGUGGCCACUUCGAUUUCUUUACACUUCUCACCAAUCAUUGUUCAGAAGAUGAGGAAGAAAUAAGCGCUUUUCUAAAAAAAGGAACGUUGAACAUAUAGUGGAUUUAUCUUUCUACUUACAAUUGGAA